AGUGCAAGGCAGUGUGCCUGGAUAGCAGGAGGCAUUCAAUAUACGAUGGCUGGCUGGAUGGACAGACGGAUGGACAGAUGGACAAAUGGCACCGUGCCAACACCCAAUACUCGGCACAAGACCUGGAACCUAGUAAGAGCCAGUAACUAGCAACUGCUUGAAGAACUGGGGCUCACUCUCCUGCACAGGACAAUGGAGCCAGAUAUAAUGAAAGCCACUGAAUCCUACCUGAGACUUUUUAUUAAUCUCCAGCUUACAAAAGAAGAAACCUCCCUAGAUAGUACCCAAGGGAGGCAACACCCAAGGCACCCUCAAAGCAGAAUUCUGCACAUGAAAAUGUCCAAUUGCCACUGAACCCCUCGGGCAGCCCUCUCCCCACACCUGAGCCUUGGGUAGGCCAUCUUGCAGGGAAAGAUGGCACCAUGCACAUUCACCUGUGCUGUAUGAGAUGCAGUCUCAGAAGAAGAGACCUGGACAAAAAAAAACCACAUCUAUCUCUCAGUUCUCAAGGAGCCCAGGCCAAUGAGAUGCCUAGGCCUGCCUUCUAUGGGGAAGAAAAAGGAGCAAAAGGAGUGUCCAGGCUUCCUCCAGCAGUUCGUGCUCUGGGUCAGCUUUUCCUUCUGACUAUGUUCAACAAGUUAGCAGGAAAAAAAGGCAGAUGCCCAUCUCCAGAUUUCUUUCUGCCCCGUGACCUGCCCACUGCAAAGGCGACCAGUGAGUGCCUACACCUCUGGUUAAUCACAUUCUGUUUCUUCCUCCUCAUCAUCUUGGGAAGAGGCAAGAAAGCCAUGUAAGGAAGAGUCUGGAGAUGGAAGCCCCUCCUUCACAGGCCUCAGAAUUAUUAUAGGAUCACAAACUGUUCAUACCUCCUACAUCAGUGAUCUAAUUUCUGGGAAUCAGUUCUAAAGAAAUAAUACAAAAUAAAGGAAAACAUUUAUGUAUAGAUUUGUCUAUUACUGACCUAUUUAGGGGAAAAACUGGAAUCUAUGUAAAUGUCUAACAAUAGGAGAAUGAUUAAGUAAAUAAUAAUAUGCCAACUCAAUUUAAUGCAUUGAAGUCAUUAAGAAUUUUUGAAGAAAUCGUAAUAAGAUGGAAAGAAUUCUUAUGCUAACUAACUGAAAAUUAGGAUUUAAAUUUUAUAUUCAAAAUGACUGGUAUACAAAAAGGGGGAAAAAUGCCAACUAAACUAUGCAUUGACUGAAAACUGGGAAGAUAGACUCCAACAUGUAAACUGUGGUUUUCUUCUUCUUGUGGUAAAACUAUUGAUAGGUUUUAGUUCUGCUUUUUUCUGUAUAUUCCAAGUUGCAGUCAGCAAAUUUACAUAAAAAUUUAACAUCGUGUAUUAUUAUUAAGCAUUUCUCUUAUGCCAGGCCUAUGCUAAAGCCCCUUUCUUAUUUUAUUUAAAUCUUAAGCAAUUCUAUAAGAUGGGUAUUUUUAUUAUCUCCAGUUCAUUAAUUAAGACACUGAGUCUCAAAUAGCUUAAGAGACUUGGCCAAAGUCUUGUACAAGAGCCAGGAUUUAGUCUGGUCUGUUUGAUUUUAGAGUCAAAGCCCACUCACUAUCUAUCUUACCCACCCCAAUAAGAGAAUAACCCAUCCCAAUAAGAGAAUAAAUUAGAGAAGUAAUUUGCACAAAACUAUACAUAUAUAGAAUUACAUAUUGCAGAAUAAAUUCUUUUAAGUAGCAGAUCCAUCCUUCAAGGAUAGUCAAAGCAGACCUCUUUCAUGAGAAUUUCUCCUGCUCUCCCUAUACUCUUAUGAUGAUAUCCGCUCACUUUAUUGCCCUCAUCAUUGACUAUCUGUCCUCGCAGGCAGGAUUUGUACAGGCAUGCCCUGGAGCUAUUGCAGGUUCAGUUCCAAACUACCACAAUAAAGUGGACAUAUUGCAAUAAAGUUGGUUGAGCUAAUUCUUUGACUUCCCAGUAUGUAUAAAAUCUACAUAUACUUUAUUAAGUGUGCAAUACCAUUAUGUUAUAAGAUGUCCAUUACACAUAUUUAAUUUAAACACCCUUUACGACUAUAAUGCACCAAUAAAAAAUGUGGGAAAAAAGAUAAAUAAGACAACACAGGAAAAAACACUUUAUUGCUCAAAAAUGCUAAUAAUCUCCUGAGCUUUCAGCAAGUCCUAAUCUGUUUGCCAGUGAGAAUCUCACCUCAACUCUGAUGGCUGCUGACUGAUCAGGAUGGUAGCUGCUAAAGGUUGGGGCAACUAUGGUGAUUUCUUACAAUAAGACAACCAUGAAAUCUGUUGUAUGGAUUGAUUCCUCCUUUCGUGAAAGAGUUCUCUGCAGCAUGUGAUGCCAUUUGAUAGUAUUUUGCCUGCAACAGAACUCCUUUUAAAACCGGAGGCAGUCCUCUCAGCUGCUGACCCUGCUUUAUUAAGGAAGCUUAUGUAGUAUUCGACAUUCUUUCUUGUCAUUUCCACAAUGUUCACAUGAUAUUCACCAGGAGUAGAUUCUAUCCCAGGAAAUCAUUUUCUUUGUUCAUCCAUAGAAGCAAUUCCUCGUCUGUUAAAAUGUUAUCAUGAGACUGAACAAUUCAGUCACAUCCUCAGGUUCAGCUCCUUUUUCUAAUUCACUUGCUCUUUCUA